rnacentral:rRNA from 1 species
UACGAAGGGGACUAGCGUUGUUCGGAAUCACUGGGCGUAAAGCGCACGUAGGCGGAUUCGUAAGUCAGGGGUGAAAUCCCGGGGCUCAACCUCGGAACUGCCUUUGAUACUGCGGGUCUUGAGUCCGAUAGAGGUGGGUGGAAUUCCUAGUGUAGAGGUGAAAUUCGUAGAUAUUAGGAAGAACACCAGUGGCGAAGGCAGCUCACUGGCCCGGUACUGACGCUCAUGUGCGAAAGCGUGGGGAGCAAACAGG